CAAGACUCUAUGACACUGAGGACAGGUCCAUCGAUCCUACUCCCAUCAUUCCGGCAGCUAAGCUGGUGGCACCAGUAGUAUGGGAUGUGGACGCAGACAUCGAGCGGGCGCAUAGGGGGGAACCUGCGCCUCCACAGUGUCCGGAGGGUCGUAGGUACGUGCCGCUGGCUGUCCGUGAUCAAUUGAUUCGAUGGGCUCAUUGUCUACCCUCGGCGGGUCACCCAGGUAUUUAUAGGACAGUGCGAGGUCUUGAGAGGAAGUACUGGUGGCCCACUUUGAGGAGGGAUGUGCGAUUCUAUGUUUCCUCCUGUUCGGUGUGCGCCCAGAGUAAGGAUCCUAGACACCUGCCAAGAGGUAAAUUACAACCUCUUCCCGUUCCACAACGGCCGUGGACCCAUCUUUCGGUAGAUUUUCUUACUGACCUCCCCCCUCUCAGGGUAACACUACAAUCCUGGUCGUUGUGGAUCGGUUCUCUAAGUCCUGCCGUCUUAUCCCAUUGCCCGGUCUCCCUACCGCCCUACAGACUGUGGAAGCUCUUUUCACCCAUGUCUUCCGGCACUACGGGGUGCCCGAAGAUAUAGUUUCUGAUCGGGGCCCCCAAUUUAUCUCCCGUGUUUGGAGGGCAUUUAUGGAACGUCUGGGUCUCGGUCAGCCUGACCUCAGGGUAUCACCCGGAGAGUAAUGGUCAGGUGGAGAGAGUUAACCAGGAGGUGGGUAGGUUUCUGCGGUCGUAUUGCCAUGACCGGCCAGGGGAGUGGGCGAGAUAUAUUCCCUGGGCAGAAAUAGCCCAGAACUCACUAAGCCACUCCUCUACCAACAUGUCACCAUUUGAGUGCGUGUUGGGGUACCAGCCAGUCCUGGCACCGUGGCAUCAGAGCCAGACUGAGGCUCCUGCGGUGGAGGAGUGGGUACAGCGCUCUAAGGAGACCUGGAGGGCGGUCCAAGAGUCAUUACGCCAAGCGAGUAUAAGGCAGAAGAAGAGCGCUGACCGUCACCGCAGUGAGGCCCCAGUGUUUGCACCUGGGGACAGGGUCUGGCUCUCGACCCGAAACCUGCCUCUCCGCUUGCCCUGCCGGAAGCUGGGUCCGCAGUGUAUAGGGCCAUUUAAAGUCCUGAGGAGAAUAAAUGAGGUUUGUUAUCGAUUAUUACUUCCUUCGUAUUAUCGUAUUAACCCCUCAUUUCAUGUGUCUCUUCUCAGGCCGGUGGUAGCUGGUCCUAUGCAGGAAGAUGAGGUUCCGGAGGUUCCUCCGCCCCCUCUGGACAUCGAGGGGUCCCCGGCGUACAAGAUACGAGCUAUUCUGGACUCGAGACGCCGGAUGGAUACCCUACCUCUGCCUGUGGUGUUGGAAGAGGCUGCAUUGGGAAGAGGAUGCAUCAACACCCUGGAAAUAUGUCUACGGUGCACUCACUCAUAACACUUUUUUGAGUGAUAAAUGAAUGUAUUGUCUUCAAGCUUGAUAAGAAGCAAUCAGUUACAAGGCAUAAAGACAGAUUGAGGCCUUCAAUCAAACUGAGGACAGAGAAAUGUGCACCAGGUCAAGGCGUCAUGCAUGAAUGGCUUUGAGAUUGUGUGCAUUUAAGAAGCUUUGGAUGAAGGACUUCCACACAGCUGUCAUCUCCAAAGUUCACUCAAAAAGGCAAUAGUUUUGAACUGGGUUUGCUUUUGCUUUUGUCGUUUUAAUGAUUUCAAUUUAGUUAAUUCUCUUUUAAACAUCCAUUGGUUCAAAGCUCAUUGACCAGUUAUCACUUGGCUCUAAAUUCUGUAGUUGUAGUUAAACAUAAGGUAAACAUCCCCAUAGCGUUCACAUUUAUCUCUUGUAAAUGUUGAAUCUACAAUAGAUAUUAAAUAAACAAUUUAUUUGGGAAAUAUUCAUGCUGAUUUCAAGUUGUAUUAGAUAUAUUUUGUAUCUGUUAAGACAUUGAAUACACAUUGUUUGUAUAUUUAGUACAUGUAGUUAAGUUUUCUCUGUGAGAAGCAAGUAUAUUUAAAGUUAUGUGAUUUGGAUUAUGUAGAUACGACAUUUCAAUGUUAACCCUCCUGUUGUGUUCGUUUCAUGUUAAUUCAUUCUGUGUUCCCAGUCCAAAAUGACCACCCCAUUAUAGCUGAUUAUAAAUCCAUAAUAACACA